rnacentral:rRNA from 1 species
ACUCCUACGGGAGGCAGCAGUGAGGAAUAUUGGUCAAUGGACGAGAGUCUGAACCAGCCAAGUCGCGUGAAGGAAGACGGCCCUACGGGUUGUAAACUUCUUUUGUAAGGGAAUAAAUAGUCUUACGCGCUAAGACGUUGCAGGUACCUUACGAAUAAGGAUCGGCUAACUCCGUGCCAGCAGCCGCGGUAAU